rnacentral:lncRNA from 1 species
UAAAUAAAAGAUGAUUAAUUGAUUAUACAAUAUAUCAUAAACUAAUAAUCAAAUACACAAAAUAUAAAAUAUACAAUAUUAAUAUAUAUAAAAUUUAAAAUAUAAAGCCCAUAAUAUAUAAAAUAAAAAAUUUUAUUUAUCCCAUGAGCUCAUACUCAGGUCUAUCUACUAUGGGCUUUUAAAUUUUCAGCCCAUGACUAGGCCCAUUCGCUGUGGGUCCAUACCCAAACCUUUUUGUCAUCUCUACUUGAGCUAUCUAUCAAGGGAUAAGUAUUUUACACAGCAACCCAUGUGACACUUAAAUAAUUUUUAGCAAGUUAGCCUAUUGAAAUUCUCAAGCUAACUAAGCAAAGAUGCUUGUGAGAAAGUUAGAGAGAAGAGAGCAAUAUGGCCAAAGAGAAUUUUAUUACUCACAUAAGAGAAUACAAUAGAGCUUUACAAGGAUGCUUGAAUUACUUGUGUGUGG